rnacentral:rRNA from 1 species
UACGUAGGGGGCGAGCGUUAAUCGGAAUUACUGGGCGUAAAGCGUGCGCAGGCGGUGAUGUAAGACAGGUGUGAAAUCCCCGGGCUCAACCUGGGAACUGCAUUUGUGACUGCAUCGCUGGAGUGCGGCAGAGGGGGAUGGAAUUCCGCGUGUAGCAGUGAAAUGCGUAGAUAUGCGGAGGAACACCGAUGGCGAAGGCAAUCCCCUGGGCCUGCACUGACGCUCAUGCACGAAAGCGUGGGGAGCAAACAGG